GUGCUUGCUUUGGCAGCACACAGACUAAAAUUGGAACGAUACAGAGAAGAUUAGCAUGGCUCCUGUGCAAGGAUGACAUGCAAAUUCGUAAAGCGUUCCAUAUUUUU